rnacentral:tRNA from 1 species
GGGAUGAUGGCGUAACCCUGGUCUUACAAACCAGGGGUCGUUGGUUCGAACCCAACUGCGCCCA